rnacentral:rRNA from 1 species
ACUCAAAGGAAUUGACGGGGGCCCGCACAAGCGGCGGAGCAUGUGGAUUAAUUCGAUGCAACGCGAAGAACCUUACCUGGGUUUGACAUGCACUAGACGCGUCUAGAGAUAGGCGUUCCCUUGUGGCUGGUGUGCAGGUGGUGCAUGGCUGUCGUCAGCUCGUGUCGUGAGAUGUUGGGUUAAGUCCCGCAACGAGCGCAACCCUCGUUCUAUGUUGCCAGCACGUUAUGGUGGGGACUCAUAGGAGACUGCCGGGGUCAACUCGGAGGAAGGUGGGGAUGACGUCAAGUCAUCAUGCCCCUUAUGUCCAGGGCUUCACACAUGCUACAAUGGCCAGUACAGAGGGCUGCGAGACCGUGAGGUGGAGCGAAUCCCUUAAAGCUGGUCUCAGUUCGGAUUGGGGUCUGCAACUCGACCCCAUGAAGUUGGAGUCGCUAGUAAUCGCAGAUCAGCAUUGCUGCGGUGAAUACGUUCCCGGGCCUUGUACACACCGCCCGU